rnacentral:rRNA from 1 species
GUGUCAGCAGCCGCGGUAAUACGUAGGUCGCAAGCGUUGUCCGGAUUUACUGGGCGUAAAGAGCGCGCAGGCGGCUGGCCAAGUCCGAUGUGAAAGCUUCCGGCUUAACUGGAAAAUUGCAUCGGAAACUGGUCGGCUUGAAGGUGGGAGAGGGUAGCGGAAUUCCCGGUGUAGUGGUGAAAUGCGUAGAUAUCGGGAGGAACACCAGUGGCGAAGGCGGCUACCUGGCCCAUUCUUGACGCUGAGGCGCGAAAGCUAGGGGAGCGAACGGGAUUAGAUACCCCUGUAGUCC